AAAGAAAAAAAAAAAAAAAAAAAAAGACUACAACCUCCUGCUAGGCUUCGCCAGGUGCCUUUACCACAGCAGUCUCUUGUGGAAGGAGCUCAGUGAAUGUCGAUGCAUUAAUAAAACAGGAAGAGGCGAGAGGAAGAGGGUUAGAAUGACUCCACUCAAACAGCUUCGACCACGGAACACAACCGGCCUCACCCCUAGGCCUCUCCUCCAGGCCUUUCUCGGGUUCUUCCUCAGGCAAUCCAAAGGCGCCAUAGAAGCUGAGGCUGGCUCUGCACAAAGUCUUCACCCAGACUCAAGUCUCCAGCUCUGAGCUUCCUUCUUUCCCUCUUUCAGAACCGCGUUUCUUGUUUCACCGCUCAGGGUCCCUCUCUUUCCGCAUCUCUGCACCUUCGUCUUCAUCGGCGCUGUUUCAGGCACAGGUUUCUAUGCCUAUUUUUGUGUGUAGGAGUUUGUGCCCUGUCUCCUGCGCCGAGGCUGAAGUUUUACAAGCUCCCAGAGUUCUCUGUUGAGCCCACCCUAGCGCUAUGUGUGCGCACGGUGGAGGUUGCCCCCUUCAGUGUCCCUGACUUGUUUUGGGGUAAUUCACACCUACCGUCUCCACCAUCACAUCUACCCAACCCCACAGAGGGGAGAUUUGGAAUUUAGCCUUCCCAGGGUUGUGAUUCACUAAAACACUAGGUCUUCCCUACUGCAAAUGGAAACUAGUUUAAAUAUGUCAAUAACUCUCGGCCAUCCAUCUGCACAGCAUAUGAUUUGGUGGGUUAUUUAUUUGAGAGAUUAGAAGGUUGAGCUAAAUCAUUUCCUCACACACCCAGUGGACUGACUUCGCUUGGGAAGUGUUUGCUAAAGUUAGGAGUGUGCCUGUGACCUUGGCCCUAUUACCACUAAACCAACUAGGAUGCAGGCCCAGAGGCCUGGCAGACAGGGAACUUGGCGACAGCUCCUUUGAAAAAGAGCAGGCUACCCUGCAGAUGACCAAUUAUAGGUCCCUGAGGCUUCUGGAGCAGACUCAGCCUGGCUCCUGGCAUACAGCUUCCCCACUAAAUGCUCCUUGUUUGAGAGUCUUUCCCACUUCAGCAGGUGGGAACAAGUCAAGGUAAAGAAACGAGGGUCAGAGCCAGGCACCUGAGUUAGGCGCGUACAUGCGUGAGGGCUGCAUCCUGUAAGCUGCCACUAUGCUGCUGUCCCAUCCUGAGGAGAUGGCUUGACCUCUCUAAAGGGAGACAGUGACAACUUUCAUGUGCUCCCUGGUAGUUAACUAAGAAAAUCUGAGCACAGGCUCUGUACUGUGCUUGAGAGCCAGCCUCAGGGGUAGCUCUUCACUGUGCUUAGCAAUGGUUCUAAUAUGCCAUAUUUGACGUGACUGUAAAACCAGGCUGGCACUGGCUGGGCUCUCAGCCCACCCGCCCUCGUCACUCCUGCCUUCUCCCAAGGUGACCCAGCACUGGUCUGCCAGCUCUGUCCAGAGCUGCUGAGUGAGUGCCCAGGGACACCCAGAGUCGAUGUCUGGAAACGGACUCCCUGUGAAGUGCAGACCGGUGGAGAGAUGGUUACUCUGAUUCCUCUCAGGGUGGAGCUCAACAUUCGGAAUGCUGGGACAUUACAUGGGUCCCUGAUGAUGGCUGUCAGAGGAAAAGGAGCACUGCCCAGUCAGAAAGUGAUCUAUUCUGAAUCAAUCAACCAAGUAUAGGAAAUGGGGGAAAGGGAGGAUGGGUGUCUGGAUGGAGGAAGCUGAACCCUGUAGUGAACUCUUUCUUCCACAGUGAGGAAACACAGGACCUGGCUGUGAUCUUCAUGGAUUUAGUAUCGAGGGUGUUAUUGAAGUCAGGCUAUUCUGUGUUAGAGAGCAUUGGGGCUGAGAAAAAAACAGUCAUGAUAACCUUCAGAAAUCGAAGAUGCUUGUGACCUACAGAGCCCAUGUCGUCAGCUCUGAGACUCUGUACUGUGCAUCAGCACUGGGUCCUGGGUAUCAGCACUGGACUGUAUUCUGCCUCACAGAGACCUCAGUGAGCACAAUCCACUUAGUAGUUUGUCAACUUGACACAAACCAGAGUCAGCUGGAAGCCGGGAACUUCAGUGAGGAAUUGACUGCUUUAAAUUGGCCCAUGGUCAUGUCUAUAAGGUGUUUUCUUGACUGCUGAUUGGUGUGGAUGGGUUCUUGGCCCACUGUGGGUGGUUCCACCCCUGGGCAGAUGGUCCUGGGCUGCAGAUAGAGAAGCAAGUGUGAGAAGCCAGCCAGUAAGCAGCAUUCCUCCAUGGUCUGUGCUUCAGACCAGCAGGCCUCCCUUCCCUGCACUGGGGGCAGAUUCUAUGCAGAACCUGGGGACACUGUCUCUCUUCCUUGCUCCCUCCUGCUCUUUAGCAAGCUACCAGCCUUUAAUUUCAUUUUUCUGCCUGAUGGCAGACUUAGUCGUCAUUGCUUAUCUCUUAUUCCUUUACUGUAAGGGGAGGCUUGGUUGGACCGGAUUCCACACAACCAAACUUUCUUUGGCUAGGUUUUCCCAGAAGCUUCUUGGGGUGGGGUAGGGGAUAUGUGGACUCCACAAAGGGCAAGGAAGGGGUCAAGUCGCCCAAGAGGGCAGCAAUGCUGCAGACGACCUCAGUGUGAGGUUGUUCUCCACAUUGUCAAUCACAGACUGAGGCUGCUCUCUGGGUAGAUCACAUCCAGUCCUUUCACCUCUCUGUAGGCCCCAGGUAAGAAUGGCCCCUCUACCUGAGAGCUGCCGAGGUGACUGCUGGCAGUACAAGUCCUGCUGGAUUGUGUCCCCACAAACACAGGCAGAAUCUCUAACUCCAUCCAGCCCAGGGCUGAGCUUCAGGCUUUGUUGACUAGCAGUCAGAUAGUCAGAUAGUCAGAAUUCACAAGAGACCUGAAAAUAAUUUUCCUUAUGGUCACAACAGUCAGCCAUUUUGUGGGAAGGAAUAUUGUUUUUCUUCUCCAACUUUCUGUUUGUUUGUGUGUAUAUUUCUUUUGAAACAGGGCCUCACUCGACAGCCAGGUUGUAGACCAAGUUAGCCUCACACUUAUAUCUGGGUCCCUAAAUGCCAAGAUUCCAGGUGUUUGCCUUCCCACCCUUCUCUCUUUCCUACAAGCUUUAUAUGCUGACACGUGAAAAAAGAGAACAAAAUAGGUCCCUAAGGUGGUUGAUAUAGAAGAAGGAAACAGACGCCCAGGAAAAUCUGCUCCAUGACGCCCCUGGUGAUGAGCUUGUCUGUCAGCAAAAUGCCUGGUGUUUGAGAAGCUAGGGGUCGAGACGCCAGGGGACCCUCUCCUAGGUCUGUCACCUCCUCUGGUGUGGCCAUGUCACCACUGAACCCCUUUGUCCUGCUUCUUCGGCCCCUUUGCACAAUUCCAGAGGUGUUCAUGAGGUAAGUAGUGGAUAUGGAAGGGCUUUGAGAAGCAUCUGUUCACAAAUAGGAUGAUUUUUUAAUGACUUGGGCUUUUUAGUUGUGUGAUGGGCAACUGAGAAGGAAGAUGGAAGGAACAAAAGCUCAGAGCUUCCAAUGGGCUCUCAACAAAGUCUGUCCCAGUGCAAGAACACGCUGACCCAGACCGACUGACAUACUCCUUCACUAAGCCCCCCUUGGUGACUGUAUUGACCCUCAAGAAACAGCUAAUUAAUAGAGGUCCAGAAAGAGCCCCAGAAGAACUAAGAGAUGAGGAGAGUAGCCAGAAGGAGACUGUAAGAAGGGAGAGAGAGGUGGAGAGGGGAAAGAGGGGGAGGGGGGGGAGAUGGAGAGGAUAAGUGGAGACACAGAGGCAAAGGAGAGAGAGGAGAUAAGAUGGCCCAGCUGGAGAGAGGAAGAGGAUGCCACUGGCAGGUGCCCUUGUAACAGCCAGUGUUCCCUCCCUGGGCACCGUUCUGUGGGAGGGGCAUUUCCCACAAUCUCUUCACGCCCCUGUUUCUCAUCAGUCAGUUACCUUCCCGACCUAGUUAAGGUGAGAAGGGUUCUGGGGCAGCCUGACCUUGACCUUUACCCAUCUCCUGAAGUUUGGUCAGAAGGUGGCAGGGAGGGACAGAAAGCAGAGCUGGCACACAGAGGGCCCUCAGUGAGCACGGCAGCCUGUAAAUUGUUCUUUUGUUUUUCAGGCUUUACCAACAUGAUUUUAUGCCAUGUGACUGCUAUUUCAGGAGCAGUAAAUAUUGCCGGCGGUCUGUUUAAAAAGGCCAAUGACCUGAAAUGUUGUGGUUAUUUUUUUCUUCCUCUUCUUCUUCUUUUCUUUUCCAUUUGAAUUGUCUCCAAGAGGCAGGCCUGCUCAGGCACCAUGCAAUCAGUCUGAAACUCGCUGCCUUUAGUCUUCACGUUCCCUUUCUGUCUUGUCAUGGGCCGGACUGGCAACAUGCAACCAGCAGAGACAAGGAUACAGAGGUAGAGAAAGCAGGGGUGUCCAGGGUGUACCUGGAAGAGGGUAGGGAGUACUCAGCUCUCUGCUGCCUGUCCUGCUUCCGGAGCUGGUGUUUGACCUAUAAUUACCAUCUCUUUCCUCUGAGAAAAUAGUGACACUGGGAGUAAGUGUGGAGCAGGGAAAAAAAGCAUUACAUAAAGGAUGGAGGGUUUAUAAAUACAGUUAAAAUUAUAGGAUGGUUUCCCCGUGUUUAGCUCUGAAGAGAGGGCUGGGAAGAGAGAAGAGGCCUUCUUCAACUUGACUUGGAUCCUAAAAUACCCAGGUGGGACUCUUUAGGGGCCAAGCCAAGCAGUUCCCCCAACCCUCACUCUGGAUGUGAAAAUACUGCUUAAAAACAAAGAGGGGUGUGCCCGACUGGUGUUGUGUCUUUGUGUGUGUGUAUGAGUGUGCAUAUAUGUGCGCCUGUUUUGAGGCGGGAUCUUCCCUAAAUUUCCCAGGCUGGACUAGAACUCACUCUGCAGCCCAGACUUGAACUUGUAAUCCUCCCUCAGCCUCCUGAGUAACAAGGGUGGCGUGCCACCUGUCCAGCUGACCUCUCAAGCCUUUGAGAACCUACAUCUUCCCAUGUACCGAUGAAAUAUAAGCCAGCGCGCUGGUCACAGCUCACUCACACCAGCUCUUUCCCCUUGCAACCACGAGAGACAAUCACCUGAGUCAAUCUGCUGAGACGGAGAAUGCCGGCCUGCGGGUGCUGUACAAGCGGAGACAUCUCACCUGUGUGAAACAGAAAGAAGAGCAAGCAUGAGAGAGAAGCAAGGAAAUGCAGCAGCAGAGGCCCUGCUCCCUGCUUCUUACGGUUCUUGGGGUCUAGACUCUGGCUUCUCCAACCUUUGCUUAAUUUGGAGUCUCAACUAUUUCACGGUGUGUGCCGUCACAGAAAGUCUUAACCAACGUGAGAGCGAAUGCCAUUGCCAAGGAUUCUGCAGAAACAUUGACAAUAUAAGUUCAUCAGCUCAGGUUAGGUUUACGGGGUGAGUCUCACUCCCGUGCUCUCCAGAAAGGGAAGAGGGAUGAAAGGUCCCAAGACAAAUGUAAACAGUUGAAGAAGAGGAAGGACUGGAGAGAAGCCUGAGGUCUGACUCUGCCUUCAUGGGGAAUGAACUUUGCGGGAGCAGGACUCUGGAAGUGAUGACAGUGAUUGUCUUCCCAUCGAUCAUCAGCAUGUUUUUACUUUCAUGGUCGGAUCAGAAGCUAUUCAGCCCAUGGUUGCCACUCAGCAGAGCCUCAGAAUGUUGCCUUGCUCUACCCUAGAGUUGGCCUCUCUGUGUAGAAUGGUUCUGAUCCUUUCCGAGUGCAAGCGAAGCAAAUGGAAUGGCUUGGCAUGAGGUCAAAAUGGCAGGGGGCUGGAAACAAGAAACCGACCUCCUGACCCGUUUGACCCCGCCCCUUACAGCCCCACCCCUCGUGGCCCCGCCCCUUAUAGUCCCUGUCCAGUUUCCUCACCUGCCUGGAUCGGCCAUUUUUAAAACGCCUCUGGCUCUCACCUGUUACAGCUCCCUGAUAGACCAAUGGCUACCAGGAAUAUUUGACUACAGCAGCAGUUCUCAGCUGUGUGUUUUUACUCUCACAGGGGUCACAUAUGCUACAUACCAGAUGUUUACAAUUCGUAACAGUAGCAAAAUCACAGUUACCAAGUAGCAAUGAGAUAAUGUUAUGGUUGGCAGUCACCCUAACAAAAGGCGCUGUGUGAAAGGGUCGCAGCAUGAGGAAGGUUGAGAACCACUGCUCUACAGUGUGUUUACUUCCCUCCAAAAACAUCAGCAAAGUGGGGAAAGAAAAUAAGAAAGGCGUUUUGUUUUCCAACAUUUUAGAUCAUGUGAUUCUUUUUCGGGCUUCAGGCCUCUUCCUAACACAUCUCUAGAUGUUCAAGGGAUAGCAGGGUACAGGAGGUACUGCUCUUGGUUAAGUUCAAGCACCAUCAUCCACAUGGGACCCGCUCACAACCAGCUGUGCCUCCAGCUCCAGGGAGACUCACCGCUCUGGCCUCCACAGGCACGUGCACUCACCUGACCUGCCACACACCUCUACACACUUAUACACAGAAUUUAAAGUAAUAAAUCUUUAAAAGCCUACCAGGUUAA